rnacentral:misc_RNA from 1 species
ACCGAGUUUACAACUCCCAAACCCCUGUGAACAUACCUUAAUGUUGCCUCGGCGGAUCAGCCCGCGCCCCGUAAAACGGGACGGCCCGCCAGAGGACCCAAACUCUAAUGUUUCUUAUUGUAACUUCUGAGUAAAACAA